UACGGAAGGCAGCAGUGGGGAAUAUUGGACAAUGGGCGAAAGCCUGAUCCAGCCAUGCCGCAUGAGUGAAGAAGGCCUUCGGGUUGUAAAGCUCUUUUAGUGAGAAAGAUAAUGACGGUACUCACAGAAGAAGUCCUGGCUAACUCCGUGCCAGCAGCCGCGGUAAUACGGAGAGGGCUAGCGUUAUUCGGAAUUAUUGGGCGUAAAGAGCGCGUAGGUGGUUUUUUAAGUCAGAUGUGAAAUCCCUGGGCUUAACCUAGGAACUGCAUUUUGAAACUGAAAUACUAGAGUAUCGUAGAGGGAGGUAGAAUUCUAGGUGUAGCGGUGAAAUGCGUAGAUAUCUGGAGGAAUACCUGUGGCGAAAGCGGCUCCUAAACGAUACUGACACUGAGGUGCGAAAGCGUGGGGAGCGAAACAGGGAUUAGAUACCCGU
rnacentral:rRNA from 1 species